rnacentral:rRNA from 1 species
GACGAACGCUGGCGGCGUGCCUAAUACAUGCAAGUAGAAGCCAGGUGCGAACGGGGGAGUAACGCGUAGGAACCCGCCUCAUAGCGGGGGAUAACUCUUGGAAACGAUAGCUAAUACCGCAUACUGUGAGAUGGACCUGGGUUGGAUUAGCUAGUUGGUGAGGUAAAGGCUUACCAAGGCGACGAUCCGGAGCUGGGUUGAGAGGACGACCAGCCACACUGGGACUGAGACACGGCCCAGACUCCUACGGGAGGCAGCAGUGGGGAAGUUUGGACAAUGGGGGAAACCCUGAUCCAGCCAUCCCGCGUGUGCGAAGAAGGCCUUCGGGUUGUAAAGCACUUUUGGCAGGGAAGCGGUACCUGAAGAAUAAGCACCGGCUAACUACGUGCCAGCAGCCGCGGUAAUUC